rnacentral:rRNA from 1 species
AGCGAACGCUGGCGGCAGGCUUAACACAUGCCAGUCGAGCGGGCACUUCGGUGUCAGCGGCAGACGGGUGAGUAACACGUGGGAACGUACCCUUCGGUUCGGAAUAACGCUGGGAAACUAGCGCUAAUACCGGAUACGCCCUUUUGGGGAAAGGUUUACUGCCGAAGGAUCGGCCCGCGUCUGAUUAGCUAGUUGGUGGGGUAAUGGCCUACCAAGGCGACGAUCAGUAGCUGGUCUGAGAGGAUGAUCAGCCACACUGGGACUGAGACACGGCCCAGACUCCUACGGGAGGCAGCAGUGGGGAAUAUUGGACAAUGGGCGCAAGCCUGAUCCAGCCAUGCCGCGUGAGUGAUGAAGGCCUUAGGGUUGUAAAGCUCUUUUGUCCGGGACGAUAAUGACGGUACCGGAAGAAUAAGCCCCGGCUAACUUCGU